rnacentral:rRNA from 1 species
GAUGAACGCUGGCGGCGUGCUUAACACAUGCAAGUCGAACGAUGAAGCCCAGCUUGCUGGGUGGAUUAGUGGCGAACGGGUGAGUAACACGUGAGUAACCUGCCCUUAACUCUGGGAUAAGCCUGGGAAACUGGGUCUAAUACCGGAUAGGAGCGUCCACCGCAUGGUGGGUGUUGGAAAGAUUUAUCGGUUUUGGAUGGACUCGCGGCCUAUCAGCUUGUUGGUGAGGUAAUGGCUCACCAAGGCGACGACGGGUAGCCGGCCUGAGAGGGUGACCGGCCACACUGGGACUGAGACACGGCCCAGACUCCUACGGGAGGCAGCAGUGGGGAAUAUUGCACAAUGGGCGAAAGCCUGAUGCAGCGACGCCGCGUGAGGGAUGACGGCCUUCGGGUUGUAAACCCCUUUCAGUAGGGAAGAAGCGAAAGUGACGGUACCUGCAGAAGAAGCACCGGCUAACUACGUG